GGGGUGUGCUCAGAGCAUGAGGCCUGAAGAAUGGCUCCUCUGUUUAUAACACACCCAACAGGAAUCUGGGGUCACUGUGAUGAGGGACACAAAACUUGUGGCCUCCCUAUGAACAAAUGCCCUACAUGU
ensembl:snoRNA